UGCCAGGCUACUACGAACACAUGUUUAGAACUCAAAGAACUUGGCGGUGCUUUAGCCAGCUAGGGGAACCUGUCCUUUAAUUCGAUAGUCCACGAAAAUCUUACCUAUUUUAGUUCUCAGUUUGUAUACCGUCGUCGAAAGCUGGCACCAAAAGGGUUUAGAAGCUAGCAAGAAAGAUUUCUCUCUUAGAAGUCAGAUCAAGGUACAGCCUAUAAAUAGGGAGGAGAUGGGUUACAAUUAAAAAUUUCUAUUGGAGUUCUAAUGAAAUUUAGUUAAUGAAAAGAGGACUUAGAAGUAAUUUUUUAAUUAAAGUUAAAAAAUGAAAUAGGCUCUAGAGCGUGUACAA
rnacentral:rRNA from 1 species